GCGUUUUUUUAGGGAAUAGCCCUGCCUGUGCUGCCCCAUAAAGCACUAGAGGGGGAGUGUGCCUCCCCUGGCAUCCUGCUAUAAAAUCCUGGGAGUAAUUAUAGCGUACUGAGGCAAAUCAGGAGUAAUCAGAUCAGUCCCGAGGCUGGGAACAUACAUGGACACACAGCAUCAGCACUGGAUUAAACCUCCCCACCACGACCCCCCUUAUUGAUUGAGGUACGACGAGUUCCUGCAAGUAGGUAAACGAGAGGGAGAGAGGGAGAGAGGAAAAGCUGUGAGGGAGUGGGAGGAAGAAUGAACCAGAAAGGCAGCGCAGGAGGCAGCGCAGUGCGAGCGAGCGAGAGAGAGGGGAUGGUGAGGGAGUCAAAGGCAGGAAGCAAGCAACAGCCAGUGGAACAGAAAUGCAGGGAGUUUGAGAGAGAGGGUGGAAAACAGAGGCCCGCCGCCACCGAGAGGACGAUAGGAGCGAAGUGAGGUAAAAGAGAAAGAAGGGCAAGGGUCCAGAGGAAGAAAACACACUGGGAUAACAUCUGUGGGAGAAAACAACGCACCAGAAGGUGGCGGUCAGAGUAAAGAAACAUGCAAGAGAAAGUUUAAAGACAGGACAGAUGAGAAAAGCAUCUCCUGGUAAUGACAAAGCCGGGACACUUAAAGAAGGGACACGUCCUCUCGAGAGUCCCCUUCUUGGGCCACAGAAUGUUCUCCGAGACAAAAGGGGUCAGGGAGCUACGCAUGCGACCCACCACUUCAAACCAACUACAAAAUGGAAUUCAAAGACCCCAAGCGGACAUCCUUGCCUAUUUUGGGACUGGGGACCAUGUAACGAACACCUGUGGACCAAAACAACACAAUUCCCUCCUCAAUGGAUAUACUGCCAAGAAACAUUUAGCUAAUCGGGGGGGUCAUGAACGGCUAGACGUGACUGGCCAGAUUUGUCAGACAGAGUUAUCCAGCGUGCGGUGGAAUCGGCCUCCAGGGAAGGGCCUGCAACAUAACAGCGUCUCUGUGAACUACAGCUUGAGAGAAUGCAGCUUUGUGGUCCACCGGCACCAGAUCGAGCCACACCCCUUCUUGAGGAAGUGUGCUCUGGAUGCGCCAACACAGUUCAGAGGUCAUGGAAACUGUGGAGUGCCUGUUUGUGCAGCGGAGCAACAAUCAGGCUCUGUGCGAGGGGCCCUGCUUACAGAACAACAUGCAUUGGACUGGAUGGAUGCAAGUGCUGCUCACAAUUCGACCUUUAAUAAGAAUGCAGAACUUUGCACUUCUAACGGACAGGGAACUUUAAGUAGAUGCAUGGGACGUGUCAUGCAAGAAUUUAACAGACCUAGUCUGGUGUAUGAAGUUAUGCUGUCUACCAAAGAUGUCAACAAAACCAAUUCUAAGCACCUUAAGUGUCAAGCAAAGGUCGCCCAAGGGGAUCUCAGUGGACCAGGAAGAGGGUCUUACGCUUUCAGCUCUAAGCACUCGCAAAGAGCUAUUCGGGACCAGAUCCAAAGAGUUGUUGUGAAUCUCGAGGAGGUUCUACAUGGCCUGAAAGAGAUACGUCUGGAAAUAAAGGAGGUGGUCCAGAAGAUAGACCUGUUGACGGCUGACAUUGAUAUGGGCAAUGAAGAACCAGGGGACACUUUCAAAGGAUGCCACUCAGGAAGGAUAGACACUGAAGUGGCAUCAUCUCAAGGAGUCUGCUCUGACAAGUCAUCCCUCAAAACACCAACUUCAUCUGUGGCCCCACCAGCAUAUCCCAUAAAAGAUCAAGGGCUGCAUGAUGCAGACCAAAAACGGGAAUCAACUCAGGAGUUGGUCAUUUCUCAAAGAGAUACAUCAGGGACUGCUUCAAGACACCAUAGCCAGAAGCCUCCUCCUUACCCCUACGCCAGCACAACAGGAAGAGUGAAUCCUAAAGCAAAAGACAAAGGUCAGAAGACGCCACCCUACCCCUUUAGACGGAAACUGCUCUCGACCAUUGUUUGAGCAGACCGUGGCUUCAGGGUACAAUGUGGAGCAUUACACUCUACAUGGUGUACCGUGUUACAGGCACCUUUACGGUAAGUUUGGUCUUUAUGGGACCCGAUAACUCAAGAGUGCAGCAGCA
rnacentral:lncRNA from 1 species